GACAGAGGGUGCAAACGUUGUUCGGAUUUACUGGGCGUAAAGCGUGUGUAGGCGGCUUGGCAAGUUGGAUGUGAAAGCCCACGGCUCAACCGUGGAAGCGCAUCCAAAACUGCUUCGCUCGAGUCUCGGAGAGGAAGGUGGAAUGCUUGGUGUAGAGGUGAAAUUCGUAGAUAUCAAGCAGAACACCUGCGGCGAAGGCGGCCUUCUGGACGAUGACUGACGCUGAGACGCGAAAGCGUGGGGAGCAAACAGG
rnacentral:rRNA from 1 species